CCUACGUGAGGCAGCAGUGGGGAAUAUUUCGCAAUGGGCGAAAGCCUGACGCAGCGACGCCGCGUGAGGGAUGAAGGUCUUCGGAUCGUAAACCUCUGUCAGCAGGGAAGAACGGUCACUGUGCUAAUCAGCAGUGAAUUGACGGUACCUGCAAAGGAAGCACCGGCUAACUCCGUGCCAGCAGCCGCGGUAAUACGGAGGGUGCGAGCGUUAAUCGGAAUUACUGGGCGUAAAGCGCUCGUAGGCGGUAUGUCAAGUCAAGGGUGAAAUCCCCGCGCUCAACGUGGGAACUGCCUUUGAAACUGGCAAACUGGAGUGUGUGAGAGGAUAGUGGAAUUCCAGGUGUAGGAGUGAAAUCCGUAGAUAUCUGGAGGAACAUCAGUGGCGAAGGCGACUAUCUGGCACAUAACUGACGCUGAGGAGCGAAAGCGUGGGUAGCAAACAGGAUUAGAUACCCCAGUAGUC
rnacentral:rRNA from 1 species